rnacentral:rRNA from 1 species
UACGAAGGGGGCUAGCGUUGUUCGGAAUUAUUGGGCGUAAAGCGCGCGCAGGCGGCCCAUCAAGUCAGGGGUGAAAGCCCGGAGCUCAACUCCGGAAUUGCCUUUGAAACUGGUGGGCUUGAGUACGGGAGAGGUGAGUGGAAUUCCCAGUGUAGAGGUGAAAUUCGUAGAUAUUGGGAAGAACACCGGUGGCGAAGGCGGCUCACUGGCCCGUUUCUGACGCUCAGGCGCGACAGCGUGGGGAUCAAACAGG